rnacentral:lncRNA from 1 species
AAAUUGUUGUUUUUCAUCAUUUUUGUUUGAGUAUUUCUUCUACAAUUACUCAGGAAGAAUGGAUCCAAAACCCAGAAUAUAAGACCCCAAAGAACCUGCCUGCACUAAGAGGCAGGCCACCCCCUGCAUAGGCUGGCAGGCCAACCCGGCUCCCGCUCCCCAGCUGCUCAGGCAAAGCCACCCCCCUGCGUUGCAAAUAGAUGCUGAGGGAGUUUGAAGAGCCAGGGGGAAGGCUAGCAGAAGGGGGAUAUUUCUAAAAUAUGUCUGUUCUCUGGAGUUGGAUAAAUCAGCCUGAACUCCUCAGAACUCUAUUUCUUGCAAACUGUGGGAAUAUAAAACCAUAUUAUUGGUUCAGAGUUGCUCAGCGUGGGUUUUUUCUCAGGUUUUGAAGACAUGCACAGCAUAAAACCAAAUAUAUUUUUAAUACCCUGGAAACGUGUGGUAGAUUUUAAUGAAAGUGAUUAGAUGCAGGAAAAGAAAUGGAAGUGACAUGGAGGAAGUUGGUUGACCUGCAACAUUUGCCUCCCAGCCACCCCAACCAGGAAGGAUUCUGUGUUGGCAUCUACUCAAGUGCAGAGGGUCUGGGCUGUGACCUGCAGAUUGCUCCCAGCAUGAAUAGCAAAGCUUCCAGGAAGAGGCACAACUCUCCACCUCUGGAUGAGUCUCUUCAUCAGUGGAGCAGCCAAGUCAAAUCACACACAUCUUCAGGGCUUUGCACUGUUCCACCGAAGAAACCAAUCAAAAUGAUGAUACUAAUCAAAAUGAAGAAAUCGGUCCAAAAACCAAAACAAAGAAGCCAAAAUGAAACCAAGCAAAAAAUGAAAAUGGAAAAUGAAAACUAA